rnacentral:tRNA from 1 species
AUCGGUGUCGUUCAACGGUAGGACGUCAGUCUCCAAAACUGAAUAUGGACGUUCGAAUCGUCCCACCGGUGCCA